rnacentral:lncRNA from 1 species
CGAAGACAGCGGAGAGGAGAGCGGUGCGGAGGACUGAGGCUGUGACAAACCCUGUGCCCACGCUGCCUCCACUGCCGGGAGACUCAGGGCUGGGGGAGACAUGCCCUGGUCACCACUGCGGAGACUCAGGGCUGGGGGAGACAUGCCCUGGCCACCAGUGGUGAGCCAGCGAGACAGGACCCCACGCGCGCUGACCCGGGGACGCCAUGGAACUCACUCGCGAUUCCUGCACGCGCGCUGACCCGGGGACGCCAUGGAACUCACUCGCGAUUCCUGCUCACAGCACGUUUCCUGCUCGAAAACCAGGAGAGCCUCCACGUGCCGACUAGCUCUGUCCACACAUCCAUUGCGCAGCUCUGCAGCGGAAGGACCUUCAGUAAAGACGCUGGUUUGUAACGAGAGAAGCGUUCCAAAGUGUCACACGACAUUGUUUAUUACUAAAAGG